rnacentral:tRNA from 1 species
GAAGGUGUGGGAAUGGUGUUUUUUUUGAAUGGCAUUCAAGAGGUCAACGGUUCGAUCCCGUUUAGCUCCACCA